GAUGAACGCUGGCGGCGUGCCUAAUACAUGCAAGUCGAGCGAACAGACGAGGAGCUUGCUCCUCUGACGUUAGCGGCGGACGGGUGAGUAACACGUGGAUAACCUACCUAUAAGACUGGGAUAACUUCGGGAAACCGGAGCUAAUACCGGAUAAUAUAUUGAACCGCAUGGUUCAAUAGUGAAAGACGGUUUUGCUGUCACUUAUCGAUGGAUCCGCGCCGCAUUAGCUAGUUGGUAAGGUAACGGCUUACCAAGGCAACGAUGCGUAGCCGACCUGAGAGGGUGAUCGGCCACCCUGGAACUGAAACACGGUCCAGACGCCUACGGGAGGCAGCAGUAGGGAAUCUUCCGCAAUGGGCGAAAGCCUGACGGAGCAACGCCGCGUGAGUGAUGAAGGUCUUCGGAUCGUAAAACUCUGUUAUUAGGGAAGAACAAAUGUGUAAGUAACUAUGCACGUCUUGACGGUACCUAAUCAGAAAGCCACGGCUAACUACGUG
rnacentral:rRNA from 1 species